GGGCGGUUAGCUCAGCUGGGAGAGCGCCUGCCUUACACGCAGGAGGUCGCGUGUUCGAGUCACGCACCGCCCACAA
rnacentral:tRNA from 1 species